rnacentral:rRNA from 1 species
GUGGGGAAUUUUGGACAAUGGGCGCAAGCCUGAUCCAGCAAUGCCGCGUGCAGGAAGAAGGCCUUCGGGUUGUAAACUGCUUUUGUACGGAACGAAACGGUCCGGGUUAAUACCCUGGGCUAAUGACGGUACCGUAAGAAUAAGCACCGGCUAACUACGUGCCAGCAGCCGCGGUAAUACGUAGGGUGCAAGCGUUAAUCGGAAUUACUGGGCGUAAAGCGUGCGCAGGCGGUUUUGUAAGACAGGCGUGAAAUCCCCGGGCUCAACCUGGGGAUUGCGCUUGUGACUGCAGUGCUGGAGUGCGGCAGAGGGGGAUGGAAUUCCGCGUGUAGCAGUGAAAUGCGUAGAUAUGCGGAGGAACACCGAUGGCGAAGGCAAUCCCCUGGGCCUGCACUGACGCUCAUGCACGAAAGCGUGGGGAGCAAACAGGAUUAGAUACCCGGGUAGUCC